GUGAUUAUGCCAACAGAGAUUCUCCCCAGACCAAAGGAUUUCAGAGUUUUCUGAAGAUGCUCAUACAACUGAAGACAAAACUGUGCUUCAUGUAUGUUCUGAUAAGAUACAGAUNNNNNGUGGGACUCCCGCCCAUAAGUAACAUCAUAGAAUAGGUAAGGUCUAAGUAAAGGGUCCUUGUAAUACAUCUCAUCAGAUAAGUUAACAACACUUUCACUGUCAGUAAGACGGCCUUGGUAGAAGUGCCGUGAAGGAAAAUCUCGAAUUUGAGGAUGCAUCCUAUACUGCACAGAUAAUAACAUUGUUGGACAUCCUGCUUGUUGAAACCUUUCAAAAAGGCUUCUACUAUACAUCAAGGUCCCAGCUGCCUUGCUGAUAACUGUUGCAGGAAGCUGCUGGGGAUCCCCUACAAGAACACAACGAGCAGCACCAAGAGCUAGGGGAGGAAGAACAGCUACUUCACUGGCUUGGGCAGCCUCAUCAAUAACUACCAUAUCAAAACCAUGUGUAAGUCGAGAGAACAACUUGCGACCACUGCUUGAGACAGUGGUAAAAACAAUUUCAGCCUCAUUGGCAAAACUUGCCUCCAGACUUGAGCGGGCUUCCUCCAGAUUGAAGUUGCUACCAGCACGAAACCUGGCCUCUAAAAUGAGAAGGCGAGAAAUCUCAACUAGAACUUUAUCUCUNNNNNNNNNNCUGCUGCAAGGUUCUGCAGCAAUGCAUCUCGGUUUUGAUCCCGAGCCAUAAGAAUAUCAGGAUCAACACCAACAGAUCCUUGGGAACGACCAUCAGCAGCUGC
rnacentral:misc_RNA from 1 species